ACACUCUGUGAAGACACUGUGAACGGUGGCAUGCCUUCCUACUAAAUAUACACAUUUGUCGUGUUACAGUGUGUUUUUUAAUGUUCCACAUGUGUAAUGAGAAACUGAACACACUUGAAACGGAGGUACUGUAGCAAAUACAAGACUCUGGACUGGACUUCUGGACUGAAGAGUCAGUGAUGUUUGUGUGACUGUGUCUUCCAUCAAACCUCUUCUGAAUAUGAAGAUCAGCUUCUGUGUGCUCUACACAGCUCUGCAUGCUGCUGUUGGCUGUAUAAUAUCUGGAACAUCGAAUGAGACACUCAUCCGACCAGCAGGAGGCGCUGUGCUCCUGCCCUGUUCCUGUAUCGAUGUACAAACCAAGCCAGAGGAGUUUCAGUGGAGUUAUAUCAAUGAUAAGUGGUAUUUUGAUGUAAUUGGUAACUGGGCUGAAGCUGAUAAGAAGCCGUACAGUGGUAGAGUGCAGAUAUUCAAUGCAAGUGCUCCAGGAAACGCAUCUCUGCUUCUGUCUAACCUGACUGAAGAGGACCAGGGAGAAUACAUUUGUAACAUCUUCACCAAACAAAGUACCUCUGGUAGAUUCAUCACACUCAUUGUAAAAAGAAAAGAAUCCCCUAGCAGAUCUUCAUGGAUUCUCCUUCUUGUGUUGCUGAUGGUUCUGGGGGCAUUUGGAGUCAUCUGCUGGAGAUAUAGAAUCCUCUCAGAGCGGCCCCAUGAUCCAGCAGAGAGCAGAACCAGUAUAUGGUCUACGCUACUGUAGUCAAAAGGAGCUCAGCAAGACCUGCACCCACAGAUACAAACACUCAGGAGACCACUGAAGAUUCCAAUGAAGCGAUGUACGCUACUGUAGUCAAGAAGAGCUCAGCCAGACCUGCACCCAGAGACGGAAGAUUCCAGUGUUAGGACAGACGGAGAAGCAACGUACGCUACUGUAGUCAAGAAGAGCUCAGUCAGACCUGCACCCACAAACUCUCAGGAGACCACUGAAGAUUCCAGCAUCCGAGCAGAUGGAGUAUGACCAGUCAGACCUCACGAUACUGAAAAAAAUCCCACAGAGAACAGUGAUUCCUCUAGGGGGCGUGUAUGUUUGUUUUUAUGUCAUUAUAUGUAACAUUAUCUCAGAGUUAUGUAUGCUCAAUGUGAAGUCAAGAGGCCUAGUGUGCAUACAGUAUACGGACAAAAAUGUCCUGAGAAUAAAAGACUGAAGGGAUAAA